rnacentral:rRNA from 1 species
GAUGAACGCUGGCGGCGUGCUUAACACAUGCAAGUCGAACGAAGCACCUUGAUUUGAUUCUUCGGAUGAAGAUCUUGGUGACUGAGUGGCGGACGGGUGAGUAACGCGUGGGUAACCUGCCUCAUACAGGGGGAUAACAGUUAGAAAUGACUGCUAAUACCGCAUAAGACGACAGCACCGCAUGGUGCAGGGGUAAAAACUCCGGUGGUAUGAGAUGGACCCGCGUAUGAUUAGGUAGUUGGUGGGGUAACGGCCUCCCAAGCCGACGAUCAGUAGCCGACCUGAGAGGGUGACCGGCCACAUUGGGACUGAGACACGGCCCAAACUCCUACGGGAGGCAGCAGUGGGGAAUAUUGCACAAUGGGGGAAACCCUGAUGCAGCGACGCCGCGUGAGCGAUGAAGUAUGUCGGUAUGUAAAGCUCUAUCAGCAGGGAAGAAAAUGACGGUACCUGACUAAGAAGCACCGGCUAAAUACGUGCCAGCCGCCGCGGUAAAAC